rnacentral:lncRNA from 1 species
AGAAUGUAGAAUAAAGAACAAAGACCCACGAAAUGAAAGACUAAAUGGCAACAGAAAUGUAAAUAUUAGCUUAUUUAUGUGUUUUGCCUUAUAAUAAUAGAAUACAAGUAGAAGGGAUAAUGCUUUUUGACUAAGGGUACAGCACAGAUUAGAGCCAAGCCCUUUAGAAUCUGCAGAUAGUAACAUGAUUAUAAUAUAAUUAACAAUCAAGGACAUAGUGAAAAGAAAACCAAUAAAAAGAUGAUGAUAACAAAUUCAAUCUGACUACCUUCCUAUUUAAUAAUGGUUCGGGAACAUCCCCUCGCACAAUCCGUUGAGCUAAUCUGUGAGAUGAUGAGAUUUAACAAACUAGUGUCAGAUGAUGUUGCUGCAAAUAGAAAUCAGUGAGAACAUCAAAAACUUUAGGUGUCUUGAUGUAAGAAGCUCACAACAAAUAAAACAGUGAAGCCUUAUAAUACACAAUAAGCAACAACUAUGUUAGACUCACAAAAAGGUCACUGUAGAAAGAUAAUGGUCCCCGAUGGAGGACAUCCAUUGAUAGAACUAAUGCAGUGGAAAACAAGAUAAAUGAGCAUCACAUUUCCAAGGU